CACAAGAUUAACUUCCUGUUAAGAAUGGCGGCGCUAGGGUGACCUUGCGUAAUCCAGUCUUCUGGAUUUCUGAGUGGCUCCUAUCCACUCUGUUUGACGCCUCCCUGUUAGAACUUGAGCCGCGGGCAUCCCCGCGGCUCUUUUUUG
rnacentral:sRNA from 1 species